UGUUAUGGCCUUUCAGAAUCAAACUUAUAUUUUAUUUUUUUUGGUUAUAUAGAUUUGAUUUUUUUUUUUUUGCUUUAGCUAUUAUAAUCCAAAUUUGCUUUUUUUUUGUGAUGACUUUUCAUAUUGACACUGGUUGAAUAAAAAUUUAAUUAUUUUUUAUUUCACAUGAUGCAAGUUUACCUUUUGUUUUGCAGUAAUUAGAUUCAUUGUGAAGAUGUGUGCACUGGGCUGGAACAUUUCCAGAGAAAGCUGGACUAGCCAUGCAUCAGCAUACUAGCCAAGAUUGAUACCUCUCCACAAAUCAACAAAGACAUCAAUGAAGCUUUGUUAAAGCUAGUGACAAUUUACAUGUUUUCUUAUGUGGCUUAAUUAUAAUAAUGUCAAGAAAGCUAAUUAAAUAAGAACUAUACAUUU